AGAGUUUGAUCCUGGCUCAGGACGAACGCUGGAGGUAUGCCUUCAUACAUGCAAGUCGAACGGAGUCAUGAAGAGCUUGCUUUUCAUGGCUCAGUGGCGAACGGGUGAGUAACGCGUGGGUGACCUGCCUUUCAGACCGGGACAACAGUGGGAAACCACUGCUAAUACCGGAUAAUCUCCAAUCAUUGGAUGUUUGGAGUAAAAGCUGCCAGAAUCAUUGGUAGUACUGAGAGAGGGGCCUGCGUCCUAUUAGCUGGUUGGUGAGGUAACGGCUCACCAAGGCGAAGAUGGGUAGCCGGCUUGAGAGAGUGAUCGGCCACACUGGAACUGAGACACGGUCCAGACUCCUACGGGAGGCAGCAGUAGGGAAUAUUCCGCAAUGGGGGCAACCCUGACGGAGCAAUACCUCGUGGAUGAUGAAGGGUUUAGGCUCGUAAAAUCCAGUCAGCAGGAAAGAAGGCCUGUAGUUCAAACAGGGCUACGGGAUUGACGGUACCUGCAGAGGAAGCAACGGCUAAUUACGUGCCAGCAGCCGCGGUAAUACGUAAGUUGCGAGCGUUGUCCGGAAUUACUGGGCGUAAAGGACGUGCAGGCGGUCUGCAUAGUCGGGUGUGAAAUACCGGGGCUCAACCCCGGGGCUGCAUCCGAUACUGGCAGACUAGAGUCUUGGAGGGGAGAGCAGAAUUCCAGGUGUAGCGGUGAAAUGCGUAGAUAUCUGGGAGAAUACCGGUGGCGAAGGCGGCUCUCUGGCCAAGUACUGACGCUGAGGCGUGAAAGCGUGGGUAGCAAACAGGAUUAGAUACCCUGGUAGUCCACGCUGUAAACGGUGGGCACUUGCCGUUGGGCCAGCGAUGGUUCAGUGGCGAAGCUAACGUAUUAAGUGCCCCGCCUGGGGAGUACGGUCGCAAGAUUAAAACUCAAAGGAAUUGACGG
rnacentral:rRNA from 1 species